AGUUCCGGUUGUCAUGGUAACCCAAGGUGUGUCAGUUGUUGAAGAGGAAACAAGAGAAAACCCCAGUCCCGGACAAUGCCGUGCUCCAUGGGGUACCGGAUGGAUAACAAACCUCGGUGUUCCUACAGGAGAAAGAGAAAUAAUUCUGCUACAGAGGAUGGCACCCAGCAGCCAGAAGAGGAAUCCCCUCGGGUGGGGAGAACAGAUAAUGUCCAAAAUAUAUCACCUCUGUCUACAUGGACGCAACAGAAAAGUUCAAAGGUGGCCUAUUGCAAAGCACACCAAACCUCUCUAAAACUCCUAUUUGCCUAUGAGUGUUAAAUAAAUCAUCGUCUAGCUAUA